AUUCAAAUGGAAAAAAGGCCAAGAAAUCAAGCUUAAACUAUAAGUCAGCUCACAGAACCUGCCCUCAUGAUUCAUCAGUUAAACAAAAAAACAACUAU